rnacentral:rRNA from 1 species
CCUACGGGAGUCAGCAGUGGGGAAUAUUGCACAAUGGGGGAAACCCUGAUGCAGCGACGCCGCGUGAGUGAAGAAGUAAUUCGUUAUGUACAGCUCUAUCAGCAGGGAAGAAAAUGACGGUACCUGAGUAAGAAUCCCCGGCUAACUACGUGCCAGAAGCCGCGGUAAUACGUAGGGGGCAAGCGUUAUCCGGAUUUACUGGGUGUAAAGGGAGCGUAGACGGCAGUGCAAGUCUGGAGUGAAAGGCUGGGGCUCAACCCCCGGACUGCUCUGGAAACUGUACGGCUGGAGUGCAGGAGAGGUAAGUGGAAUUCCGAGUGUAGCGGUGAAAUGCGUAGAUAUUAGGAGGAACACCAGUGGCGAAGGCGGCUUACUGGACUGUAACUGACGUUGAGGCUCGAAAGCGUGGGGAGCAAAUAGGAUUAGAUACCCGGGUAGUC